GCCCCCGUAGCUCAGCUGGAUAGAGCGCCACUUUGGAAGGUGGGAGGUCGCGGGUUCAAUUCCCGCCGGGGGCU
rnacentral:tRNA from 1 species